rnacentral:lncRNA from 1 species
AAAAUUCUGAAGCCCUAAUUUCCCAAACUUGGACAUAAUCCCAUGUUACUUUGCCUUGAUUAAUCAUCCAGUAGGCAUGUUGAUUGUGCUUUCACCUUGCUGCUUCGCUCACAAGUACCCUUGCAAAUGCCUUGACCACUAUCACAAACCUACAAAACACAAGCCAUGAAGUACUGAACCAAAUGGAGUUAACCUGCUGCAUAAUUGCUUGAAAUUAAUUCACACCCUCUGAUAUUCCAAAUGCAAUGCAUAACAAUUGGUUUAGGCCUGCAGAACAACACAAUCUGCAGCAUGACAGCAGUUCAUCCAUGUCCAUAAUAAAAUCCUACAGCAAGGUAAGUAUUGGCAGCACAUCAACAACAACAAGAUGCAAUGCUCAUGUUGAUGUUGCAUGCCUGAAAUGGCAUUCAUCUGCAAAAUGCAUGGCAACCUGAAAUAAAAUCAACAGAAAAUCAGAUGGGAUUUGCUUGCAUUAGCUCAAUGGAGUUCCACCUGCAUCAUGUUGCAGCAGACCUAUAGAAACC